AUGCGUUCCGGACGGAAUCUCCUGGUACUGCAGCCUUGGCCCCUCCUCCACGUUUUGUAAAAGCUACUUCAAGGCCAAACCGAGCAGAUCUCCAGACUGGAUUUGCCUGGGGCGGCAGGUCAGCAGGUCUGUGCUAGGAGGCCUAACAGGUGCGGUCACCUUCAGGGGUAAGAAGGCACUGGCGACAGUCUGUCCUGAGUCUCACUUGUAGCCCUCUUGCUGCAGCUGUGGGGAGAGGGCCCCUCGGACAGCUGAGGCAGGGCUGAUGGGGUCAGUGACACAGAGACAGCACCGGCUCGGGCAAGACCCAGGUGGAGGGUUCUCAGCCUGGGGACUGGGAGGCCAGCUCAUGGCUCCAAAAUCCCUCCCUGGCAGGCCCAGGGGAAAAUCCGCGCCCACGGCGCUCCUCCUGCCCAGCUGCCUCGCUCAGGGUACAGACGGGGGCUGAGGCCCGGCCUCCAGAGACAGGCCUCGAGAGCCGGCAGGCCUGCUCCCUGGGAAGUCCCUCUCGGGACCUGGGUGGGUGCCAGCGACGCCCAGCCUCCGCCGCUCCUGCUGUCCAGCAGGUCCUCGCGCCUCCAUCCUCCCUGCGUAGAACUUUCUAGAAACAGCAAAAUGAGAAAGCCCCUCUCUGGAGCCCAGGCCUCCUCGGCGGGGCCCUGGGACUGUGGGAGGGAGCUGGGUCCCCAAGCCAGGCCCCUCGGGGUCUGAAGUUCCAGCAGCCAUUCCUUCCACCAGGCCACGGGUCACCCGCGGGGGGCAGUGGCCGGGGCCUCAGUGUUGGGACUGCGUCUGUCAGAGCAGGGAGGCCACAGCAGCUGGCCCAGGCCAGGAGGCAGAGAAGCACCCCCUAAUGACGGUACCCCACACUGGCGCUCAGCAUGGCGGCACCCCACAGCCCGGGUCACUCACCGAGCACACGUGACUCCAUGGGGGACCUCACAGGGCUGGACUUUGUUUUCGGGGGUGGGGAGCUACUGCCAACCCCCUAAGUGUAGCAGCAGGUAGGGGCGAGUGCAGAGGGCAACCACUCACUGGGUUGGGACACAGAGGUGCCAGGGAGCAAGGUGGGAGGGACACAGGGGCAGACCCCGGGCCCAACCCAGCAGGGGCCCGAAUCCGAGAGGGAAGGAGGCUGUGGGCGGCUGAGGAAGGACUGGCGGGUGCCAAGGCCCUGAGGCAGGAUGUGAUAGUGUGUUGGAAGAGCAGAGGCAGCGGGCAGAGAGGGACCAAGACGGAGUGGGAGGAGACGAGUCUGAGGGGAGCAGAUCACAGGGGCCUGCGGGUCACGAGAGGACUUUCCUGCCGAGGAGGUGGGAGCCCCGAGGUCGUGAGCAGCAGAGGCUCCAUCGUUAGCCCGUGAGAGAGCAGAGGCCCCCAGAGGCGGAGCCGUUGGCCCCAGAUCAUGUGGACAGCAAAGGACAGGCAGGACACGAGCCGUCACCCUGAGACUCUCAAAGCGGGACAAGCCUGUCACCCGCUGCCUCUGGGUCCCGUGGGAGCCAGGAGUCCAGGCAGGGGGUGGGGCCUCUUCGGGCUGCUCUCUGGGCCGCUGGCCGCCCCACCUCUGCCAGGUCUCCCGCUCUGGGUCACCUUGCUCCCGGGCCUGGGCGGGCAGCCCGUGCAAGGCCGUCCCACAGACUUGGCGCCGGCUGGGAGCCCAGGGUAAGUCCCUGGCCCCGGGUGGCCCAGGACCAUCACUUUCCUUUUCUCGUAAAAGGAAGAGAAAUUGUCACCGUCAGUUUCGCUCUGAGCUCGUCCGCCGUCUUUCCAGUAACCGAGGCCAAGGGGCCGGCCACCGCCCAGGGCUCCCGUGGGGCCUUGGGGACUGUGGUCCCGGCACCUGGCCUCCGCUUCACCUCCCCCCGCACCCCCCCCUGGGCUUGUGGGGUCUGGUUUCCCUUGACACCAGAGUGAGCCCCCCAGGCCGCUGGGGCCCAGGACUCCUCCGCUGUGGUUGGUCCCGUGGGCGUCUGUCCCCAGGGCGCUGAACUCCUGGUGCUAAAAGCAGAAUUGCUUUUCAGUAAAUGUCAUUACUCAAAAGGAAGUCGUCACUCCCACCGCCACCCCAGCCUCGCCAGCAGCACCGCCUGCCUGGCCUGGUGGGGAGAGGCCCGUGGCUCCCAGUGGCCUCCCCCCGUGCCCAGGGGACGCUGAAGGUGGGGUUCAGAGGCCACAGCCUGCGGGGCAGCCACUGUGCUGACUCGGCACAGGAGAGGCUCACGCCCCAGGUCUUGGUGGCCUCGGCAGGACCCAGUGGGAGCCCGCAGAGGGGACGCUGUCCUUCUGCUGAAUCAGGGGCUGCCGGCCACCCUGCUCGGCACCGUCCUCCUCCCUGUUUCCUCUUCCCCGAGAGGAAGGGCCACGCCGUGGUGUCAGGAGCUGAGUGGCUCGGUGACUGCCACACACCUUGAGGGUGGAGGGUGCGAGGUCGUCCUUCGUGGUGACAGUGAGACUGGGUUGAGAUGACAGGCCAGAGUGCUCUCCCACUGCCAGCCUCAGUUGUCUCCUGUAGGGCGAGGAGGGACGCCAUGCUCCAGGUGUCUGGGGGGCCCGGGGGACCGGGAUCAGGCAGCCUGCCAUGCACACAGUAGGUGCACACAGUAGGUGCACACAGUAGGUGCGCACAGUAGGUGCACAGGAACGCUGCUCCGCUCCUUCUCUCUAUUGCCUUGGAGACGGCAGACCCCAGUGCCGAGCUGGUCCCCAAGGUGCUGGCCUGAGCCCUCCCGAGGCUCGAGGACACCUGAGGCCCCGCCUCCGCUGCCACUGCUGAGCUCUGGUCUCCACGGCAACCCGAGCAGUGAGGUCCUCGCAGGUGACUGAGCCCGGAGGCCACCCCGUCACCCCGCCACACACCAGUCCCUGCACCAUACAACCUGACUUGGAGAUUCCCACGGUGCGCCCACGUCACCAAGGGCCCAGCGGCACUCGGGUGUGAUGAUGGGGUGUCACCUUUAGUCAGUUUUUCCUUCUGAGAUGACUGUAGACUGGCCUGCUGUGGGAGUGAGCAGAGAACCCACAGGCGCACCCCAGGUCCCCCGGCGGUAACCCGGGCCGCCGUGGGUCCCCGCAGGGUGCUGACGCGGACGUCCCUGCCCAGGAGCCGGCCGCAGCCCUCCCCGCGCCCACCCCGCCUGCCCAGCCCGCGGAGCGCUGGCCUCUCUCCAUCUCUGUGAUUGUGCGGUCUCAAGAAUGUUCUAGAGCUGGAAUCGCAGGGUGCAGCCGCCCUCUGGGUUUUCUCAGCGUGAUUCUCUGCGGCGCGGUCCCCUCUGUCCUGUGCCUUGAGAUCUGUUCUUCCACGGGGACAGCGCGGGCCUCGGCCUCUUCAUCUCUCACCUGGAGGCUCCAGGCUGGGUCCAGCUUCCCCCAGGGUUGGGAGGGCUCCGGGGACACUGGCACCUCUGUGUGAACCUGUCCCCAGUCCUGUGUCGGGGACGGCACCUGCUGUGUGGCUUGGUGGCUUUAAGAAGUGGCUCGUUUUCUCGGACACCAGCAUCACUCCGGGGCCUCAGGCGCAAGCAGGUGAUCCGUCCUCCAGCUCCUCGGGCUCCGGACUCUGUUCUGUUCUUAGUCCUUCUAGGCGGGCAGCAAGGUCCAGCUGUGGCUAUCCUCUGCAUGUCCUCUCGGUGCCCAGUGCCUCUGGGGUCCUCUUCAGUGACCCUCUCUUCCUGGCUUUGCUCGGUUUCUGUUUAGAUUCUCCGCUGCUGGGUGGACAGGCUCUAGGUGCAGGACUCGGCCACACGGCGCUGGCAGGGCUUCUCUCGGAGGCUCUUCUUAUUUUGAGACAGGGUCUCUCUGAGCUGCUUUGGGCCUCGCUGAGUGGCUGAGGCUGGCUUCAAACCUGCGAUCCUCCUGCCUCAGCCUCCAGAGCCACUGGGAUUAUGGCCGUGCGCUACCGCUGCGCCUGGCUCCUCGUCCUCAAGGAGCCUUCCACGGAGCGAACAUGUUCAUUUUGACGAGGUUCCCUUUGUUGACCUUGGUCUCUCACGAAGCUGCUCCUGUUCUUCGUACAGACGUCCCGAUGCCCCAGGUAUUUAUUGAAAAGGCCCUCCUCCCGCCACCCAGUGACCGCUGCAUCUGUGUCAGAUGUCAGCAGGGCCAUGGGCCUCUGACCCUGGUCCCUCCGUGCUGCCCGGGAUCUGUGUGUCCCUCCCUCUGGUCCUCCUCAUUACUGCAGCGGUACAGCGACCUUGACGUUCACAGAAUGAUUUCUCCUAAUUAUAGAGAUGACAUGUUCUCAGUCAUUGAUAAACAGGUGGGAAAACUCUGUCCCUUAAAGUCAUUCGUUAAAAAAGAAAAUACUGAGGCAGAGAUGGCCAAGGGUCCCCAAAGACUCCCGCUCCUCCUCCAGCACGCGGAGCUGCUGAUGGUCAGGAGCUGCCCGGCCAGCAGAAGAGGUGACCAGCUCUGGCCAGUGGGACCUAAGGGGAAGUGCCGUGUUGUCAUCGUGGGCCAAGAUGCUGAGCCUGUGCCUCUUCCGCCGUCUCUCCUCUCCUGGCCGCUGGAUGGACGUCAAAAAUCAGUUUGGGGCCAGGUGUGGUGGCACAGGCCGGUGAUCCCAGUGACUCAGGAGGCUGAGGCAGGAGGAUCCCAAGUUCAAGGCCAGCCUCGGCCACUUAGCAAGGCCCUAAGCAACUCAGUGAGACCCCGUCUCUAAAUAAAAUAUUAAAAAGGGCUGGGGAUGUAGCUCAGUGGUUAAGAGCCAGUGGGUUCAAUCCCCACUCCCCAAAAACAUCAUUUUUGACAGGGUCUAUCAGGUGACCUUAGUCUACCUGUCAAAGAUGACAGAGGACACACCACUCAGGAUGUGUGACAGUGCCAAGCCGAGCUCCUCCCCUUGUCAAACGUCCCUAUGACCAGGAAUUUAUGCUUCUAUAAGCGAAGUGCUGCGACACUGCUAAAUGUUAAAAAUAGAAAUAAAAAUGGAACUCCUCACGCCCAGCCGUGCCCACGUAACGCCUUCUCACGUGCGUGCCCUGGGCGCUCAUGCUGCUGGAGGCGUGUACCCCAGUCCUGUGAUGUGAAGAUGGGAAGGCACAUUCUACCCUCUAUAACAGAGAAGCAGAGACCCAGAGAAGGAGUGGGCUGUCCCCAAGGUCACACAGCAAAUCCAGGGCUGAACUCUCGAAAUUCCACUAGUUAAAGGGCCAGUGAGCGGUGGGGAGGAGUGGGACGGCGGCUCCAGCCUGAGCCUCGUGUUGUUUGGAGCCUGUUCCCGGCUCAGGCUCCCUGCAGUGGCCUCGAGGUGAUCCUGGCAGGCAGCCCCGUGGGGUCCCCCGUGUGGCCCACCGUGGGGUCCCCCUGCGGGUCACAGGACAUCUGCAUCACCUGGUGGUGAGUCAGCAGCCGGCUCUUUCCUCUCUCAGCCUCUGGCUGCCCGGCUGCGUCUUUGCUUCGAGCCUCUCCUCUGGGCCUUCCCACUCUUCUCUCCAGCAGACGCCAGGUCACCUGUCCCCCACCCCUUCUGCAGGACCUCAUGACCAACCCUCUCCCUGCCCGCCCUGGUGUGCAGAGUGAAAUGCAGAGCGGAGGCCGGGGAGGCCGGAGGCCCAGGCCGCUUGCCCUCCCCGACGCCCCCGCGCGCCCCGUCAGGGGGCCUGAUUACCCACACCUCAAGGUGGCGGCUGGCGGCUGGUAGGUGCCAACCCUCCAAUCGCGGCUUUAAUCAUCCCCUGGCCUUGGAGUUUAUUUGAACAAGAUCCAGUUCUGACCUGGACGAAGGCAGGAGGCUGGCGGAGGGCCAGGCUUUGGAGGGAGGAGGGAGGAGGGGACGGCUGCCACCAGCCUGGACUCCCAGGGGACGCUGGCCUGGAGAGGAAGCCACCUCCCGCAGCCCGGGCUGCCUGGCAGCUGUCACUGCGGAGCUCAGCCCAGCUGGCAAGUGGACAUUGCAGCACAUGAAGGCUCGGGCAGAGAGCUGGCCGCCACCCGUCGCUCUUGGGGACCGAGUGGAACUGGGGAGCCAUGGGGCCUGGCUUCCACUCACCCAUGGCCUGGUCGCUGGGGAGCCCGGCCCUGGGGCAAGAGGCUGCAGUGUCUGAUGGGAAACAGACCAGAGAGGGAAAGAGGCUGAUCUGGGUUCACCCAGCCAGAAAGUGUCUGGACUGUGGGGUGGUGCCCAGGUUGGUGCGGGUGGGGUGGGCAGCGUCCUACCUGCUCCGUGUCCUGGGUCUAGGCCCUGCUGGGCGACCCUGGGGCCCUCUUCAUCUCUCUGACCCUCUGUGUCCUCCUCUGUGCCAUGCGGAUCUUGGCGGCACAACACUCGAGGGGGCACUGCCAUCUCUGAGGCCCUGGUCCUGCGCUGGCUCCCUGGGAGGACUCUGGUGGGGAAGAGGGAGCACGGCCCCCGACAGAGCCAAGGCCACCUGCCCUUCCAUGGAGGCCCAGGCAGGGCGGGAGGACAGAGGCUUGGGUUCGCCCAGCCUCGGGGUGCAGGGGGACGGGGCUCCUGCUGGGUCCCGUGGAAGCCCAGGCGGGAGGCAGUGCAGGGGUGGCUCAGUCCUGCCCGGAAUCAAGCCCUGCCCUCGGGGCUGACCCUCAGCAGGGAGUUGGACAAUAAACAACUACACAGAUGCUUAAUAUAAAUGUUAUUCUUGUAUAAUGUUUGUGAAGUAGAAGGUGAGAUGUGGUGGGAAGAAAAAUAAAGCCAGGUGGGCAAAGCGGCGCAGGGCUACGGCGGACAGAGAGGUCAGGCAAGGCAAGAAGGGACCACGGCCGGUGUGGCCGGGAGCCGAGCAAAGGUCCUGAGGCAGGGCUGAGCGAGGAGGUUGGAGCAACAGCCGGAGGCCAGGCAGCAGGGUCAGGGCGCCGGCUCCACUGCGCCCAACAGCUGCACCUGGAGCUCGGUGAACGUUUGCUGGAUGAAUAAUAGAGACCUGAGGACUCCUUUCUUUUUCUUUUAAAAGUAUUUCUGCUUUAAAAUUAAUUUUAAUUACAAAACACAUUAUUAUGCUCUUUAAAGUCUUCUUACUGUUACAGCUUAUAUUUAAAUCCCUUUGACUUCCUCCUGGCCCCUCUCCAGGGUGGCUGUGAUGGGUUUGGCUUGUGUCUGUCCAGGAAUGAUCUCUGUGCACUUACAGAGAAGUGCCUGGCGACACUGUGUGUGUGUGUGUGUGUGUGUGUGAGUGUGAGUGUGAGAGUGAGUGAGUGCGUGUGUGUGUGUGAGUGUGAGAGUGUGAGAGAGUGUGCGUGUGUGUGUGUCAGUGGAUCAGAUGGGGCUCAGAGUUGCAGGCGCAGAACCAGCCCUGGGUGGUGGCCAUGGCUGGACUGUCCAGCUGAGCCGGGUGACGGUGCCCCGCUCUCUGACCAGAUGCUGGUCUGGGGGUCGCUAUGGAGAUGGCCGAAGGCAUGACUCACACCCACAACCAGCUGACUUUAUGUAAAAGAAACUACGUGGAAUACGCAGACGGGCCUCCUCCACCAGGCGAAGGCCUGAGAGCCCGAAGAGAGGCCUCCUGUGAAGGAGGACUUGGCCCCGGACUCCGCCGUCCACCUCUCUCCCGUGGCCAGCCCGCCGCCCCCCCUCGCUUCAGGGAAAUGCAAAUCAAAGCCACACGGAGAGGGAGGCCACCAGGGACCCACCAAAACGGCUAAGAGUAGGGGACACCGGGAGCUAAGGAAGACGGACACCCCGCAGGGAUGCGAAACGUCACGAGCACCUUGGACCCUGGCACUGCCUUCCACAGGGCCCCAGGCUCGGAGACGGUGACAGGGCCAGGUGACAGGUGACAGGGUGAAGGCUCUCAGAACCACCUGGCACGGGCGGGUGCUGCGUAGCUGUUUGCUGACGGCCAUCGUUGCUGUGGACGGGCUCAGGUGGUGGGUGACACACUGUGUCGCUUCCCAGAGGCGAGGUGGCCGAUCAGCGGGGGACCCUGGCCUCGCGGCAUCAGAAGGAAGCGGGGAUGAACUCGGCCUCUGCCCUGCUCCGGCUCCGUGGCCCGCAGCGAGCCUGGCACCGCACCUGACUCCCCCCACCAGGAUGUCACUCACAGGGACCGCAGGGCUGGCCGCUGCUCUGUCGGUGGGGACCCCUCUCAGGGCCGCCCAGAGUCCGGCUGCUGGGGCUUGGGACCGCCAGGUGUUGACUGACCACUGUGCUUUGGGACGUGAGAGUCCCCACCCCCCAGGACCUCUGUGGCAGGAGUGAGCUGGUGACAGGUGCCGGGCUCAGCCUCUGGCUCUGGGUGGGCGUGGCUGCUGCUCUCAGUGUCCCCACGGUCACCCUCACCCGUCAGGCCAGAGGGCACCCCUGGCAUCUCCAGGUGACCCUCGGGUGGGGCUCUGCUGGACAGGGAGUUCGAGAGGCAGAAGCACAGGGGCCUGGCCCCGGGGAGCGGGGGUCCCAGGCGGCCUGGGUGGGAGGUGACUCGGUGUCUGGCCCUGCAGGGCUGCAGCUCGCCAGUGUCCACCAAGGGACAGGGCAGGGGUGAGGGUCCGGGUGAGCGGGUCAGGGGAGCAGAGGAGGACGCGCCUUCCCACCGCAGCCUGGAGCCCUGUCCAGCCAGGCAGCGGCCUCUGCUCCAGUGCGGCCCAGAACCACCCGCCCCACGCUUGACCCUGGUCCUAGGUGGAGAGCCUCGCCGUCUCGAGCCGGGGAGCUGGGCCCAGGGCUCAGGCCAAGGGCUUUGCCCAUGAACGAAAAGAGCCGAAUGUGGGAAGCAGGUCCCUGAGAGGUUGGGUCUGAACAGAGGCCUGGAGGCCAGGAGGAGUGAGCAGGGGGUGGUGUGGGGGAUAAGUGUUCUAGGCAAAGAGAGCCGGUGCAAAGGCCCUGGGGUGCAGGUCUGGCAUCGUGGGCACAGGAAGAAGACUGUCAAGCAGGAGAGCGGGAGAUGAGGGCGGAGGGGAUGGCAGACUGUGCGGGUCCUCGUGCCACAGGGAGGGCUCCAGCUUUCACAGUGAGGGAGGCGGCGGAAGGGCUGACCAGCUUCUCCCAGGAUCCCUCGGGCUGGGAGUGAGGGACACAGGACGGAGACCAGGUGGCCGGGAAGGGGGUAUCUGCAAAGGUGCAGGUGAGCUGUGCCAGGGCUGGACCAGGGUGGGGACCGUGAAGUGCAGACAGGGGACAGGAUUCUGGAAGUCUCCUUGGAUGUCAGUCGGCCAGGUCCUCUUGGGGACCUACUGUGCGCAGUGACAAAUGCAGAGGUCAUGAAGGCUAAGACUUUGCCCAAAGCCGAAGCACAGGAGGAAAAUAAAUACCGCCCUGGUGCCAUGGGAGCUGGACCAGAAGUGUGGACCAAGGUCCCUGCGUCCCACCAGGUCGCACCCUAGACCCAUUUUACAGAUGAGGAAACCGAGGCCCUCUUAGCAAGGUGAAGCACAUGUCCAGAGUGAGGAGACUCCUCCCCGCGAGAACUUGGCGGGCAGCGAUCCUCGCCCGGGGCUGCGGGGCCCUAGUGCUGGGCAGGGCGGCUGCAGGGGCGAGGCUUGGCUUCCAGGCCUGGCCAGGCCCCGCCUCGUCCUCUGGGCCAGUGUUUCUCAAGCCUCGCUCAGAAGUUCUCUCUAAAGCCACCAGGCUCUUCCUUAAGGAAAUUGAAUUUCUGCUGUUGUUUGGUUGAGUUUUAAAGAGUAACUGACUGAGUGAGAAGCCCCAGCCGCCCAUUGACCCCGGGAAGCCGACCGUCCAGUGUGUUUUGGUCUUUUCUUGUGCAACCACCACCUUGAACUAGUUGCAAAACACUUUCCUCCUCCCCAGAGGAGACCCCGGUCCUCACGCUGCCCGCCACUUGCCCUCAGCAGCAACAGGCUUCCUUCUGUGCUGCGGCCGUCUCUUCUGGAAGCUUCUUAGAGGUGGCGGCACGGAUGUGGCCUGUCUCUCUGAACACCUCCGCGGGGUGUAAUGUCGCCAAGGCCCCCCCCCCCCAGGAAUCAAUAAAUUGGUUCUUAAAGGAAAAACCGUAGGAGGACGAUCAGGAAGAAAAUAGGGACACUCCUCCCCUAACCGGAAAGUGACCUUAACAGCGCCACCGAGUCCCCGCUGUGCUUGAGGCCAGUCGGCAAAGGAGCUGGGCUGGGAGGGGGGCCAGUCCCCAGCGCCCACAGACUUCCUCUUGGGGUCCCCAGAAGCGUCGAAGCCAACCGCUGGAGGAGGGUGGCGGCCACCGUGCUCAGCUGCGGCACUGGGGGAGCCGACCCUGCCAAGAUGGGCCACCACCGCGAGUCUCCCCAGGGUCCUCAGGUCCCGAGGGAGGCGACUCAAGGGCCCUGCACCUGGGUCGCCUCCCUCGGGGACAGCCAGGCCUGGGGGCUGCUGGGCGCUCUGCGGCGCCCCCUCCCCACUGACGAGGUGCGCGACGGAAAGGGCCUCCGUCCUGUUCCCUGGGUCCUUGCCCUUGGGCGCCAGGACCCGCGGGUCUUGGGCCUUGGUCUGGGGCCCAAAGGAGCAGCUGCCCUCUCCCCCUGCUUUUUCAGCCCGGCCACGAUCAUCUCUCUUCCCUGCGUCUGGGGACCAUCCGACCGGCCCAGAGAGGUUGAGCGCGAACCCCAGGUCACACAGGGCUUUGGCCUGCGCCGCAGGCGCCGCUAGGACUCCUGGGAAUGCGCGCGGCUCAAGGACUCCGGGUGGCACGAAGGGCGCUGGGAGAAGCGGGUCUCUGAGCCCCACCGCCAGGCGGGGCGUGAGGAGGCUGCCUGCCCGUGACGGUCUUGGGACGUCCUUAAGAAAUGCCCGGGCUCAGCCUCCGCGGCUCAGCCUCCGCGGCUCAGCCUCCGCGGCUCAGCCUCCGCGGCUCAGCCUCCGCGGCUCAGCCUCCGCGGCUCAGCGCUCCCGUGCGCCUCCCUGCACGUCCGCGGGGCUCAGAUGCUGACAUAAACUUUUUUCCCAACCAGAAAAGCUGUGCCCCUGCCUAGAAGGACCGUGAGGCCCCCGCCGGUGCCGUGCCCGUCCCCGCUCUCCGGGGAGCACCUGCCUCUACCUGCGCGCUCUGCGCACCUGGCGGCGGGCGGAGAGGUCGCUGUGCGCAUGCGCGUCUCGGGGCGUCCCGCGGGAUGCCACCCGCUCACCCAGCCCCCGGUCGCCACUCGGUCCCUGCUCGGCGACACUCUGGGUAUCAGCUCUUCUCCUCGCCCCGUCCCACUUUCCCGCCUCCCGGCAGCGCUUCCCGCGCUGGGCACCGCCUUGCGGGCUGGAGGUGGUCAGCGAGACACGCGCAGAGGUGAGAGGAGCCCGUGCCGCUGCCCCGCUGGCUUGGAGGUGGGGCCGGUGGGGAAGGGGCUCAAGGGCCCUGCCCAGGGUCGCCGCCCCCGAGGACAGGGGGUGAGGAGCCCCUCUCUCCCUUGGUGUGAGUCCGGGAAGCUCACGCCCCGUCCUGUACCCUCCAAGGACAAUGGGCAGCCCAUGAGCUGGGCAGCUGGCUGGGGGCGUGGGCAGCACUCGGUUCUGGGCUGGGCCCAGGGGCCAGAGGGGAGGCAGGGAGGCCGGCUGGUCCCAGCUGGAGGAGCCCCAGGGCGACGGGCCUGAGCCAGGGCGGAUGUCGCCUUGACACACUGUGUGCAUCUGAGGAGAGCACCUGAGCCCGUUCAUUCAACAACUGCUUAUUGAGUACCUACUGUGUGCUGAGUGCCAUGCCAGGCACUGAGGGAACGCAGAGAGACAAAAAUCUGUCAUGGAGUGACAUCGUUGGGGGACACAGACAAGAAACAGCAAAUGCAUGAAUUCUGAAAUGAAGGUGUUCAGGGCUGCAAAGAAAAUACACAGCGGGCCGCGGUGGCCCACGCCUGCAAUCCCAGCGACUUGGGAGGCUGAGGCAGGAGGAUGGCGAGUUCAAAGCCAGCCUCAGCAACUUAGCGAGGCCCUGAGCAACUCAGUGAGGCCCUGUCUCUAAAUAUAAGAAAGGGCUGGGGCUGCGGCUCAGUGGCCGAGUGCCCCUGGGUUCAAUCCCCAGGACCAAAAAGAAAAUAAACAGAAUGAAAUAAAGAAAAUAAACAGGAUAGAAAGCAGAUGAAGGAGAGGACUUUUGAUACCGUGGCCCGGGGCAGGAUGGGCUUGGCACGAUGGAGUGAGAGUAGAGGAGCCAGGCACAGGUGGCUGAAGGCCAGGGGCAAGUGGUCACUGGGGCAGGUCAGGGUGAAGGGUUCCCUGGCCGUGAGUCCUUCAGAGAGGGGUCCACGGCACGGAGGGGGAACGGAGCCCCUGAAGGCCCUGGGUUUGCAGAGGGGCUUCCUCCUGGCCUCUCCGUGGGGAGGCGAGCCCGCGGGGAGAGCCCAGCCUGCAGGGGCCAGCUGCACCAGGAUGGGCCGGGCCUCAGCUCUGCAGAUCAGCAGCAGCCGUGGCCUCUUACGACAGCUCCUGCCCGGUGCUCAUGCACCAUGCUCCCUGUGACCCUCCAGAGGCUGCCAGGCUUGCCCCUGCCCCGGGGGCCUUGUGGAGACAAGGGUGGACCAGUGGACCAGGGAUGGUCUGGGCAGAGUAAGGGCCAUUCGAAUUGGCUUUUGAAGGGUGCAGAGGAGCUCGCUGGAGAGGACGCCGCCCUGAAGUGUGAGAGACCCCAGCACCCAGCCUGGCCCACAGGCCCGCGGGGUGUUCCGGUGACGCUCCUCCACAGAUCCAUGGGAGCUGCCCCAGGCGGGUCGGUCAGGUGACCGCCCUGGGGGGUCUCGGGCCGUCCGCUUUACACCCCAACUACACCGACCUCGUUUGCCUUCAACUUGCCUGACUCUUUUUUUUUUUAACUCAAAUUUAUUUUAAAAGAAAACAUUUGAUGUUAUCACUGGAAUUGAGAUAACAAAGAACAUGCCACAAGCCAACGUUAACCAGAGAAAUAAUCACAACCAGAACAAAACAAUGUCACUGAAGUCUACCUAUUAGCAAAACACGAGAAACCCAGCCACAGGCUGGGAGGAAAUAUUUGCAGAUCACAUAUUUGACAAAGCGCUGACCAGUAUCCAGAAUAUAUAAAGAGCGCUCCGAACCCAUUAACAAGUAAACAGUCCCGUUUUCACAGAGGCCAAAAUGUUGGAACAGAUACGACACCAAAGAAAAUGUGUCAAUGGCAAAUAGUCACAUUCCACAAAGCGCCGUAUCAUUAACCAUUAGGGAUGCGCGAGUUAUGUGGUGAGAUGGGCACCUACUUCAAGGGCUAAAAUUUAAAAAAUAUUUUAAAAAACCACCUGACAACACAAGGGUUGGAGAGGACGGGAGUCCUGGAGCUCUGAUACCCUGCUGGUGGGAGCUCAGAGUGGUCUAGACGCUUGGGAAGAGCUCAACAGCGACUCACACACCUGCCACGUGACCCAGUAGCGCCACUCCUCGGAAUUUACCCAGGGUAAACAAAAAUUUGUGUCCACACAAAAACCUGUUUGCAUAUGUUUAAAUGGCUUUAUUCACAAUCGCUGAAAUCUGGAAACGGUCCAAAUAAACCUCAAGUGGUGAAUGGC